rnacentral:rRNA from 1 species
UACAGAGGGUGCAAGCGUUAAUCGGAAUUACUGGGCGUAAAGCGCACGUAGGCGGUCUUUUAAGUCAGAUGUGAAAGCCCCGGGCUCAACCUGGGAAUUGCAUUUGAAACUGGGGAACUAGAGUGUGUGAGAGGGGGGUAGAAUUCCAAGUGUAGCGGUGAAAUGCGUAGAGAUUUGGAGGAAUACCAGUGGCGAAGGCGGCCCCCUGGCACAACACUGACGCUCAGGUGCGAAAGCGUGGGGAGCAAACAGG